AGUGCAGUGGUGUAAAUGGGAGCAUAACUGGCAUGCGCUGGGAAGUAUCGGUUCGAGUCCGAUUUGCACUA
rnacentral:tRNA from 1 species